rnacentral:rRNA from 1 species
UACAGAGGUCCCAAGCGUUGUUCGGAUUCACUGGGCGUAAAGGGCGCGUAGGCGGCAGGCCAAGCGUGCGGUGAAAGUCCGGGGCUCAACCCCGGAUCUGCCGUGCGGACUGGUUUGCUAGAGCACUGUAGAGGCGAGUGGAAUUCCGGGUGUAGCGGUGGAAUGCGUAGAGAUCCGGAAGAACACCAGUGGCGAAGGCGGCUUGCCAGAACGCGCUCGACGGUGAGGGAUGAAAGCUGGGGGAGCAAACCGG